UGGUGUGGAUAUUUAUUGGGCCUAAAGCAUCCGUAGCCGGCCAGAUAAGUUCUUCGUUAAAUCCAACGUCUCAAUCGUUGGGCUGCGGGGAAUACUGUUUGGCUAGGGGGUGGGAGCGGCCGACGGUAUUCUCGGGGUAGGGGUGAAAUCCUAUAAUCCCGGGAGGACCACCAGUGGCGAAG
rnacentral:rRNA from 1 species